GACACUUCAGCUGAGUCCCUGAAGGAGGUGGUGGGUGGAGGGGCCCAGGCUGCACUCAGGCUGCAGGAAGCUUGUCUGUUUCUGUGUUUGCCCUCCCCAUGGCCUGCAUGGUCCUCAGUGCAGGGGCUGUGGCUUCCACCCUUAGCACAGUGCCGGCCUUGCUGGACACUCAAGAGAGGUGCUGCCCGAUCACCUUAACAGCCCUCUGGGACCCGUGGCCAUGUGUUCACAACAGCGGCCACGGCAGGUGUUUCCUGAGCUCUUGUCGUGACCUCUGUCGGCUCCAUCUCAUUGAUCCUCCCAGCAACCCACAGGGAGGAGAGGUUUCUGAACAGAUGAGGAAACUGGGGCAUUUGGCUAAAGCUGUUGAUUUGCCAGAGCCCCACAGCAGUAGCUUCCCGUAGAGGCAGAUGCCGCACAAGCCACCCACCCAGAUGCAGAGCCUGAUUCCCUGUGUGGACUGGACGGCAGUUUCCCAGCUGGAGUUCUCUGGGCCAAGCUGCCUGUGACAUGGGGUUGGGGGUGCUCCAGAGAGUCAUGGCUGUCCCCAGAGGAAGUGACUUGUGGCUGACCGCUCAAGGGGAAGUCCUGGCGGUGGAGUCAUCAGCAUUCAUUCAAAUAAGAGAGAGGCUGCUGUAGGAGCCAGGCUCAGAGACAUGGAAAUGCCUAGCCAGAAGCACACAGUUCCCGAACUGCAGUCCAGCUGGGGGCCCCACGGGGCCUCAUUUUGUCACAGGCUGUGUGUUGGGGUUGGGGAGCAGGACAGGGUGAGUGAGUCCCUGGAGGAAAGUAAUAAAGAUCCAUCUGUUUGUUCAACAAACAUUUACUCGCUAUGCACUGGCCUAGUCUGCUGCUCAGUGAAGACCACGAUGAGGCUGUUGAUGGAGCUGGCAGACCAGUGGGGGUGACUAACCCGGGAGCCACUUGAGCCCCCCACAGUGUCCCUGUGCUGGCAUGGGACUUCUGCAAGGCCCUGGGGGCCCUGAGCAGGGAAGGGGAAUGGGAAGAGGAGGACUGUCAACAAGGGGUCAGGAGGGAGGGCACCCUGCAGCUGUGGCUUCCAGGCUAUGCAGGUGCUGUUGGCAGAGGCGAGGGAGACCAUGUGCUCAACCUGUGGGGCCUGGCCGUGGGGAGGAGAGAGUCUGUCAGCCUCGGGCAGCUGCCGGCACAUGGCAGAGGCUGGGCUCUUACCUUAUAGGGUGAUGGUGCUCAUGCUGCAUUGAGCUCAAGUUACCUGGGGAAGGUACAGAUUC